rnacentral:rRNA from 1 species
UACGUAGGGACCGAGCGUUGUCCGGAAUCAUUGGGCGUAAAGAGCGUGUAGGCGGCCAGACAGGUCCGUUGUGAAAACUCGAGGCUCAACCUCGAGACGCCGAUGGAAACCGUCUGGCUAGAGUCCGGAAGAGGAGAGUGGAAUUCCUGGUGUAGCGGUGAAAUGCGCAGAUAUCAGGAAGAACACCCGUGGCUAAGGCGGCUCUCUAGUACGGUACUGACGCUGAGACGCGAAAGCGUGGGGAGCGAACAGG